AGAAAAGCAGAGGUCUGUACUUUUCUCCUCUGAGCUGGCCUGUCGUAAACUUCAGAGAAAUUAUUUGAACCAUUAUUGGGUGAACCUUUGUAAACUAUACUUGUGAAUAAAGGUUCAAUGAAUGUUGCGAAAUUA
rnacentral:snoRNA from 1 species